AACGAACGCUGGCGGCAGGCUUAACACAUGCAAGUCGAGCGCCCCGCAAGGGGAGCGGCAGACGGGUGAGUAACGCGUGGGAAUCUACCCAUCUCUACGGAAUAACGCAUGGAAACGUGUGCUAAUACCGUAUACGUCCUUCGGGAGAAAGAUUUAUCGGAGAUGGAUGAGCCCGCGUUGGAUUAGCUAGUUGGUGGGGUAAAGGCCUACCAAGGCGACGAUCCAUAGCUGGUCUGAGGAUGAUCAGCCACACUGGGACUGAGACACGGCCCAGAAUCCUACGGGAGGCAGCAGUGGGGAAUAUUGGACAAUGGGCGCAAGCCUGAUCCAGCCAUGCCGCGUGAGUGAUGAAGGCCCUAGGGUUGUAAAGCUCUUUCACCGGUGAAGAUAAUGACGGUAACCGGAGAAGAAGCCCCGGCUAACUUCGUGCCAGCCGCCGCGGUAAUAC
rnacentral:rRNA from 1 species